AGGAGGAGGAGGAGGAGGAGGAGGAGGUGAGGGUGCUCCAGGUGGAGGAGGAGGAGGUGCGGGUGCUCCAGGUGGAGGAGGAGGAGGUGCGGGUGCUCCAGGUGGAGGAGGAGGAGGAGGAGGAGGAGGUGAGGGUGCUCCAGGUGGAGGAGGAGGAGGUGCGGGUGCUCCAGGUGGAGGAGGAGGAAGAGGAGGAGGUGAGGGUGCUCCAGGUGGAGGAG